rnacentral:rRNA from 1 species
CCUACGGGAGGCUGCAGUGGGGAAUUUUGGUCAAUGGAGGAAACUCUGAACCAGCCAUCCCGCGUGAAGGAUGAAGGGGCUCUGCCUUGUAAACUUCUUUUGUCUGGGGCGAAAAAGCUCGAUUUAUCGAGAACUGACGGUACCAGAAGAAUAAGCACCGGCUAACUCCGUGCCAGCAGCCGCGGUAAUACGGAGGGGGCAAGCGUUAUCCGGAAUCACUGGGUUUAAAGGGUGCGUAGAAGGCAGAGUUGAAAGGCUGUGGCUUAACCAUGGAAGUGCCAUUGAUACUGCAGAGCUUGAAUGAGGUUGAGGUUGGCGGAAUGUGACAUGUAGCGGUGAAAUGCUUAGAUAUGUCAUGGAACACCGAUUGCGAAGGCAGCUGACUGGACCUAUAUUGACGCUGAGGCACGAAAGCGUGGGGAGCGAACAGGAUUAGAUACCCCAGUAGUC